ACAGUUGGGGCGGUCAGUAUUCCAAAGCGAGAGGUGAAAUUCUUAGACCUUCGGAAGACUAACAGCUGCGAAAGCGUUCCGCAAGGAUGUUCCCUUUGAUCAAGAACGGAAGUUGGGGGAUCGAAGACGAUCAGAUACCGUCGUAGUCUCAACUAUAAACUAUACCAGCUAGGGAUCGGCCAACGUUAUUUUAUACCGACUUGGUCGGCACCUUAUGAGAAAUCAAAGCAUCUGGGUUCCGGGGGGAGUAUGGUCGCAAGGCUGAAACUUAAAGGAAUUGACGGAAGGGCACCACCAGCCGUGGAGCCUGUGGCUUAAUUUGACUCAACACGGGAAAACUUACCAGGUCAGACAUAGUAAGGAUUGACAGAUUGAUAGCUCUUUCUGGAUUCUGUGGGUGGUGGUGCAUG
rnacentral:rRNA from 1 species